rnacentral:rRNA from 1 species
GACGAACGCUGGCGGCGUGCUUAACACAUGCAAGUCGAGCGAUGAAGUUUCCUUCGGGAAACGGAUUAGCGGCGGACGGGUGAGUAACACGUGGGUAACCUGCCUCAUAGAGGGGAAUAGCCUUUCGAAAGGAAGAUUAAUACCGCAUAAGAUUGUAAUGCCGCAUGGCAUAGCAAUUAAAGGAGCAAUCCGCUAUGAGAUGGACCCGCGUCGCAUUAGCUAGUUGGUGAGGUAACGGCUCACCAAGGCGACGAUGCGUAGCCGACCUGAGAGGGUGAUCGGCCACAUUGGGACUGAGACACGGCCCAGACUCCUACGGGAGGCAGCAGUGGGGAAUAUUGCACAAUGGGGGAAACCCUGAUGCAGCAACGCCGCGUGAGUGAUGACGGUCUUCGGAUUGUAAAGCUCUGUCUUUAGGGACGAUAAUGACGGUACCUAAGGAGGAAGCCACGGCUAACUACGUG